rnacentral:rRNA from 1 species
AUGGCUAGCCAUGUCGCCGCGACUCUGCCGCCGCUGCUGCCUACCCCGGCGCGCUACCACCUCCUGACGCCUCCUCCGGCGGUGUACACGGCUCGUGUGGAGCUGGACAGCAAGAAGCAGCAGCCUGGACGUGCCUCGAUGAGCCGAAGCUGGAUCAAGGACAAGGCCGACCUUCCUGGACGUGGUUCCCGGAGCUCCAGCUGGGUCACUGACAAGACGCUCCGCCGUACCGAGACUCUGAACGGCGGCGUCGAGCGCCUCGGCCGCGGGGAGAUGCCGAGGGAGAACUGGAAGAGGCUGGCGAGCCGUGCGCCAUCCGUCGACCGCUGCGAGAAGAAGCCGAGGCCUCCCACUGAGAUGGUGGCAGCCUCGGAGGCAUCACUCCUCGCCGGCCCCGCCCCGUCUGUCGGCCGGUUCGAGAACAAGGCGACGGCUAUGACUGAGAUGGUGGCAGACUCGCCGAAGCCUCUGGCCAUGAUGGAGGUGGACUCGGAGGCAUCCUUCUUCGCUGGCCCGACAUUCAUGGUGUCGCCAGACCCGAGCGAGCUGCCCAUGCCGACCUUCAUC